AUAUUUAAUUUCAUAAACUGUUAUGUACUUUACUAUUGGGAGUAUGAUCAUGACUUGAUUUGGAAAGUUGAUUAUUGAUUUUUAAAAUCCGCGUGACUAUAGUCUAGGCCCCGCCAAUGGGAUGAUACGUUGGCCCUGUCGACUUGUACUGAGGAACUAGUUCCGACACCGCGACCACCGGUGAUAGAAUAGUGGCGGCACAGGGGUGCAUUUUUGCUCUUCGGAGCGGCUCGGUGGAGCGUGAGAUUGGCACCAGGGGGUGCAGCACAGUGGUGCAUUGGCUCAGUGGAGCGGCUCUUCGGAGAGUUGUAUUGGCACUACGGUGUAACCAUGCCACUGGGUGAUGUGGCCGUAGUCAUG
rnacentral:lncRNA from 1 species